GUUUUCUUUGCCUUCUCAGUCUUUAUGGCAUAAGGACUGCCAAUGGAAUUUAAGGAGUCUGCUAACAUUGUUUCCAGAAAAGCUUUUCUCUUUCUGAUUAAAACACCCAGACCACUCAAAUGAUGAUGAGCUGCCAAGCUAUAAAUCGUUGAAGAUUCUCUGGCCAGGGAAGCUAUGAAAAAGGAGAGAACUGGUAGGGAGAAAAGAUAGGAGAGCAACACACAUCUUUGCUUCAGGGAUCCAAGGAGGACCACCACAUGAUGAUUUGAAGCUGAACACACCUAUGUCUUGGCUUAUGUCUACACAUCAAGGAAUCAGCUGAGGCUGAAAUAAUCGUGUACCUGGACUAUCUGCGGCUGCCUUUUCCAGCACCUUCCUGUGGACUGCUCCAGGGCACUCUCUAGAAGUCAGAAUGGACUCCUGCUGAUUCUCUCGCAUAUUUGUCUUGAAUAAAAGAAUGGUGUAUGCCAGUGGAUUUCAAAGCUUCUCACAAAACAUCUCCACAUCUGAAGUCUCAAGAGUUUAUGUCAAGCAUUUGUAUUACUUACAACUAAUUAAAUAUACCAUUCCUGUUUUACAACAUGAACACAUUUGCUGAUAAUGUUGUAACUUGUAUUAUUAUUAUUUGUUUGAAACAAUACAUUAAUAAUUAAUGACUGGUCAGUAAUAUAAUACUAAUAUCUUGACCUAUUUAGAAUAGACAUUAAUUAUCACAUGUAUAGAAAAUAGUGUGAUUUUAAAUUUUUUUUCACAAAAAAUAAUUUGGAAGCAUGUUAAAGUGCCUUAUUUCCAUAUUAUUUAUUUACGUGAUUUGGAGAAUAUUGUUUAAAGUUUUAUUUUACAAGACUAAGCAGACUGUCAAAAAAGGUAGAUUAUGAAUACUAAAGAAAAGGCAAGAGAGUUGGCAUUUAGAAGUUAAUUGUAGUGAUUUGUUGAGGUUAUCUAAGGGAAAAUACCUGAUGACCCCAUUAUUGGAUUUGAAUAUAAAAAUGCUGGAUGCAUUAUAUGUGGCAGCCUGAGAUCUAUUCUUCUUAUCAGAGAGAUAUAAAAUUACCGAGAUUUAACUGAAGGCAGCUGUCAAACUCUGUAAAAGAACUGAUAUUCUUCAGAGGAGUGCAAAUUCUAUGUCAAAGACACAAAACAGAUUCUUAUUGCUUAAUAAUCUCCCACAGUUCAAUAGUGACAGAAAUUGGUUUCCUUUUUGCCCCCUACCCCUACUGUCUUAUUUCUACAAUUUUCUCUACAGUUACCAGUUUUGGGAUGACUGAUUCUGGUGUUUACUAUAUGAUCACUUGAUCAAUGGAGACCUGCCCAUCCUGCUUCUGACUAUCGUGAUGUCAUAGUAGAGCUGCUUUAGAUGAAUCCGAAGUACUCACUCCUUUCUCCAAUUUCUUCUUAUCUGGUUUAAGAAAACAGUAACUUAUUUUUGGCAGAGUCUAUCAAAAAUGAGAGGAAUUGUCUAUAGUAUAAUUUUAGUUUGAGUACAGAGAAUAAUAAAAAUUAUUGCUAAAAUAAAAUCUGAUUUAUCUAAGUAUCAACUCUAUUUAACUUUUUCUUUAAUAACGUAACUAUUUUAUGCUGCAUAAAGCAGAAUACAGGUUCCAGUGCUCGUUUGGCCACUUAGAACCUCAUCUUCUUUAUCUAUAAAAUGGAAAUACAAAAACUGUGUUGGGUUUAAUAGGGAAAAUAAAAUAAUGUACAGGAGAAUAUCAUGUAAUAAUGUUUUAUAGAAAAAAUAAUUAUUUUAUCUGUUAGAAGAUUUUUUUCUUGUCAGUUAAUGCAUUACUAAUGAUUUACUUUUAAAAAAUUAAAUAUGCUAAAAAAGUAAAUAAGUCAAAGCCAUGAUGAGGUUCACCUAUAUUUUGAAACACUCUUUUAAGCAUGCCAAAUUAGUGACAUGGGCUUUCAUGUGUAUCUUGCCUUCACACACUUAAAUGCAUAACCUUGAAAGUAAUAAAAUUUGCUGAGUUGGCUAUUUCCCUGCUUCCUCAGAACAUAUGUCAACUGAGCAACAGAGAAUUCACUGUAGCAAAAAGAAAGAUAGUUCAGUGAAAGCUUGUUUAAUAAUUAAUCCGCUGAGUAAGUGUCUGAAUGUUUGAUAAAUAUUUAGUCACCAUGUGUAUCAG
rnacentral:lncRNA from 1 species